rnacentral:rRNA from 1 species
GACGAACGCUGGCGGCGUGCUUAACACAUGCAAGUCGAACGAAGUGGCGAACGGGUGAGUAACGCGUAAUCAACCUGCCCUCCAGCGGGGGACAACAGAGGGAAACGACUGAUAAUACCGCAUAUUGAAGGUGGGGAUUGCGUCUGAUGAGCUAGUGGGGGGGGUAACGGCCCACCAAGGCGAUGAUCAGUAGGCGGUCUGGGAGGAUGAACGGCCCAAUUGGGACUGAGACAAGGCCCAGAAUCCUACGGGGGGCAGCAGUGGGGAAUCUUCCGCAAUUGACGAAAGUCUGACGGAGCAACGCCGCGUGGGUGAUGACGGCCUUCGGGUUGUAAAACUCUGUUAAUCGGGACGCGGUACCGGAAUAGAAAGCCACGGCUAACUACGUGCCAGCAGCCGCGGUAAUAC